AGGAUCCGAGCGUUAUCCGGAAUUAUUGGGUUUAAAGGGUUCGUAGGCGGCCUUAUAAGUCAGGGGUGAAAUCUCUCAGCUCAACUGAGAACUUGCCUUUGAUACUGUAUGGCUUGAAUAGUAGUGAAGUAACUAGAAUAUGUAGUGUAGCGGUGAAAUGCAUAGAUAUUACAUGGAAUACCAAUUGCGAAGGCAGGUUACUAAUUAUUUAUUGACGCUGAUGAACGAAAGCGUGGGUAGCGA
rnacentral:rRNA from 1 species